rnacentral:rRNA from 1 species
AGCAAUUAUACCGUGAAACUCGCGAAUGGCUCAUUAAAUCAGUUAUCGUUUAUUUUGAUAGUACCUUUUACUACUUGGAUAACCGUGGUAAUUCUAGAGCUAAUACAUGCUAAAAACCCCAACUUCGGGAGGGGUGUAUUUAUUAGAUAAAAAACCAAUGCCCUUCGGGGCUCCUUUGGUGAUUCAUGAUAACUUCUCAGAUCGCAUGGUUUUUACCCGGGCGACGGUUCAUUCAAAUUUCUGCCCUAUCAACUUUCGAUGGUAAGGUAGUGGCUUACCAUGGUUUCAACGGGUAACGGGGAAUUAGGGUUCGAUUCCGGAGAGGGAGCCUGAGAAACGGCUACCACAUCCAAGGAAGGCAGCAGGCGCGCAAAUUACCCAAUUCCGAUACGGAGAGGUAGUGACAAUAAAUAACAAAGCAAGCCCUUAGGGGCGCUGCGUUGGAAUGAGUAGAAUUUAAAUCUCUUUACGACUAUCGAUU